UAUAUUUGCGCCGCUGAAUACAGCAUACAUAAUAAUCAUUUAAAUAAUAUUGGAAUG
ncrna:unclassified sequences S15-Flavobacteria ribosomal protein leader